UACAGAGGUCUCAAGCGUUGUUCGGAUUCAUUGGGCGUAAAGGGUGCGUAGGCGGCGCGGUAAGUCGGGUGUGAAAUCUCGGAGCUUAACUCCGAAACUGCAUUCGAUACUGCCGUGCUUUGAGGACUGGAGAGGAGACUGGAAUUUACGGUGUAGCGGUGAAAUGCGUAGAUAUCGUAAGGAAGACCAGUGGCGAAGGCGGGUCUCUGGACAGUUCCUGACGCUGAGGCACGAAGGCCAGGGGGAGCAAAACGGG
rnacentral:rRNA from 1 species